rnacentral:rRNA from 1 species
CAGGGUAUAGACCCGAAACCCGGUGAUCUAGCCAUGGGCAGGUUGAAGGUUGGGUAACACUAACUGGAGGACCGAACCGACUAAUGUUGAAAAAUUAGCGGAUGACUUGUGGCUGGGGGUGAAAGGCCAAUCAAACCGGGAGAUAGCUGGUUCUCCCCGAAAGCUAUUUAGGUAGCGCCUCGUGAAUUCAUCUCCGGGGGUAGAGCACUGUUUCGGCAAGGGGGUCAUCCCGACUUACCAACCCGAUGCAAACUGCGAAUACCGGAGAAUGUUAUCACGGGAGACACACGGCGGGUGCUAACGUCCGUCGUGAAGAGGGAAACAACCCAGACCGCCAGCUAAGGUCCCAAAGUCAUGGUUAAGUGGGAAACGAUGUGGGAAGGCCCAGACAGCCAGGAUGUUGGCUUAGAAGCAGCCAUCAUUUAAAGAAAGCGUAAUAGCUCACUGGUCGAGUCGGCCUGCGCGGAAGAUGUAACGGGGCUAAACCAUGCACCGAAGCUGCGGCAGCGACACUAUGUGUUGUUGGGUAGGGGAGCGUUCUGUAAGCCUGUGAAGGUGGCCUGUGAGGGUUGCUGGAGGUAUCAGAAGUGCGAAUGCUGACAUAAGUAACGAUAAAGCGGGUGAAAAGCCCGCUCGCCGGAAGACCAAGGGUUCCUGUCCAACGUUAAUCGGGGCAGGGUGAGUCGACCCCUAAGGCGAGGCCGAAAGGCGUAGUCGAUGGGAAACAGGUUAAUAUUCCUGUACUUGGUGUUACUGCGAAGGGGGGACGGAGAAGGCUAUGUUGGCCGGGCGACGGUUGUCCCGGUUUAAGCGUGUAGGCUGGUUUUCCAGGCAAAUCCGGAAAACCAAGGCUGAGGCGUGAUGACGAGGCACUACGGUGCUGAAGCGACAAAUGCCCUGCUUCCAGGAAAAGCCUCUAAGCAUCAGGUAACAUCAAAUCGUACCCCAAACCGACACAGGUGGUCAGGUAGAGAAUACCAAGGCGCUUGAGAGAACUCGGGUGAAGGAACUAGGCAAAAUGGUGCCGUAACUUCGGGAGAAGGCACGCUGAUAUGUAGGUGAAGCGACUUGCUCGUGGAGCUGAAAUCAGUCGAAGAUACCAGCUGGCUGCAACUGUUUAUUAAAAACACAGCACUGUGCAAACACGAAAGUGGACGUAUACGGUGUGACGCCUGCCCGGUGCCGGAAGGUUAAUUGAUGGGGUUAGCGGUAACGCGAAGCUCUUGAUCGAAGCCCCGGUAAACGGCGGCCGUAACUAUAACGGUCCUAAGGUAGCGAAAUUCCUUGUCGGGUAAGUUCCGACCUGCACGAAUGGCGUAAUGAUGGCCAGGCUGUCUCCACCCGAGACUCAGUGAAAUUGAACUCGCUGUGAAGAUGCAGUGUACCCGCGGCAAGACGGAAAGACCCCGUGAACCUUUACUAUAGCUUGACACUGAACAUUGAGCCUUGAUGUGUAGGAUAGGUGGGAGGCUUUGAAGUGUGGACGCCAGUCUGCAUGGAGCCGACCUUGAAAUACCACCCUUUAAUGUUUGAUGUUCUAACGUUGGCCCGUAAUCCGGGUUGCGGACAGUGUCUGGUGGGUAGUUUGACUGGGGCGGUCUCCUCCUAAAGAGUAACGGAGGAGCACGAAGGUUGGCUAAUCCUGGUCGGACAUCAGGAGGUUAGUGCAAUGGCAUAAGCCAGCUUGACUGCGAGCGUGACGGCGCGAGCAGGUGCGAAAGCAGGUCAUAGUGAUCCGGUGGUUCUGAAUGGAAGGGCCAUCGCUCAACGGAUAAAAGGUACUCCGGGGAUAACAGGCUGAUACCGCCCAAGAGUUCAUAUCGACGGCGGUGUUUGGCACCUCGAUGUCGGCUCAUCACAUCCUGGGGCUGAAGUAGGUCCCAAGGGUAUGGCUGUUCGCCAUUUAAAGUGGUACGCGAGCUGGGUUUAGAACGUCGUGAGACAGUUCGGUCCCUAUCUGCCGUGGGCGCUGGAGAACUGAGGGGGGCUGCUCCUAGUACGAGAGGACCGGAGUGGACGCAUCACUGGUGUUCGGGUUGUCAUGCCAAUGGCACUGCCCGGUAGCUAAAUGCGGAAGAGAUAAGUGCUGAAAGCAUCUAAGCACGAAACUUGC